GGUUGCUGUCCAGGCAAAUUCAGUUCUGCUGUGCUCUCUGCCUUUCUAAGGAUGCAGAGAAGUACACCAGGUCCCCUGGAAAGGCUGCUGUGAAGCACAGGACAAGGACUCUGCCUCAGAGCAUCCCUGUGUACUUAAAUGUUCCAAGCUCCUGUGUAACUGGCUGUAUGAAUAUGAGUAAAUUGCUUCUUGAAAUAGGAAGUGCUGUUUCCUUUCAUCUGUUGAGGUGCAAUCCAAAGGCCAAAUCUCCACCCAUUCUGAACGUAACAUUCCUUUGGCUGUAUCUUAUAAAAGCUGAGGUUGUGCUGGAAGAGACCAAGGCACUCCUUCAGCCUCCUCAGAAACAUCUAGUCGGAAGGAUGAAGCUCCUGGCACUUUGUGGCUUUUUGUUUGUCUGUCUUCUGUGCCUCAGUGCCUUUGCUGCAGAAGGUCAGAAGGUUAGAAGACUCUGCUGCUCAAAAGUACACAAACUCAAGAAAAAAACACAUAGAGGUAUAAGUUUUCAAAUGACUCAAAUGGAAAAAAAGAAACACUGCAGGCCUUGUCCUCAGCAAAUCUCUUCAGUGAUUCCUGGUCCACUUCCACAGCUAAAAUGAGCAGACUGAGAGGAAG
rnacentral:lncRNA from 1 species